rnacentral:rRNA from 1 species
UACGGAGGGUGCGAGCGUUGUCCGGAAUUAUUGGGCGUAAAGAGCUCGUAGGCGGUCUGUUACGUCUGCUGUGAAAACCCAGGGCUUAACCCUGGGCUUGCAGUGGAUACGGGCAGACUAGAGGCAGGUAGGGGAGAAUGGAAUUCCCGGUGUAGCGGUGAAAUGCGCAGAUAUCGGGAGGAACACCGGUGGCGAAGGCGGCAUCCUGGACCGGUAUUGACGCUGAGGCGCGAAAGCCAGGGGAGCAAACGGG